GGCAUUUGCAGAGUGGAAUUCAGCUCUGACUCUGUGCGGCAGAGUCAGAGUAGAAGUGCAGCGCUGGCAUUCUUCAGAGUAGAAAUUUCAGAUCUGGCCAGUUCAGAGCUGGCCUUUUCAGCGCUGGCGGCAAAGUCAGAGUAGAAAAUGCAGCGCUGAAAACAAAGACAUUAACACCCAAAAAUCAAAGCAUCCGCACAAGCAACCAAAACUUAGGAAAACACAAAACAAAAACGAAAAACAAAGAAAAGAAAAACAAAAACAAAAAACUAAACCAACGGUGGGUUGCCUCCCACCAAGCGCUAGUUUUAAAGUCGCCAGCCCGACGUAGAGGAACC
rnacentral:lncRNA from 1 species